CAAGAUCUGAAAAUUGAGAAGAUAACUUACUCUGAGACAGCAUAUAUCCUCCUGAAUUGAUUUUUCUUUAGAGGAAUACAGCUUUUCAAAAAAAUCUGCAGUCCAGAAAUUGUAACAGUCCCAGCAAGUAAUACAUAGGUCUGGUCUCAAGAAGAACCGUUUCACUCUGAUGUGACUUGUUCAUCUGUAUUUUUGAAGGAGAUAAGAAAGGACUUUUUCUUUUUCUGACUUUGGCCUCUAUACCCCAAACAGUGAAAAUGCCAUUUCAUCUCUUUCCUGGAGGACCUGAAAUUAUUCACACAGCUUCUGAUGGACCAACCUCAAAUAAUUCCAGCUGACACACUGUGAGCUUCCUUAUGAAAUGACCUACGUGGCAAGGAAAUAAGGAUGGCUUCUGCCCAACGGCCAGUAAAAAACAGACUCUUUAGCCCAACCGCCCACAAGAAACUGAAUCCUGCCAACAGCACAUGAGUGAGGCUGGUGGCAGAUCCUUCCCCCCCAGGAUGACUGCAGUCAUGGCCAACAUCUCAUUACACCUGUGAAAGACCUAGAACCAGAAGACUCAGCUAAGCACACCUGGA